UGGCUGCCCGGCCUGGCCCGCCCGCAAACGUAGGUGCCAUCCACCCAGCCUUUAUCCCCAGUCCAAGCACUUCAGCGUGGAGGUCUAGCAAGCCCUGGACAGGACCAGCCAGGUAGAGACAGCUUACAGGAGAAAGAAAGAAGAGGAGGGACUGUCCGAAGUGCCUCGGCACUAUGCCUGCACAGCUGGAUCUCUGGACACGGAGCCCUGGACCGUUUCCACCCAGACACUCCCAUUCCAUCAAGUGGGGGUAAGAAGGAUCAAUGAGAUAAUGGAAGCGAAAGCGCUUUGCAAACUGUAAAGCUCUGGAGAAAGUAAGGGUGUUUUAUUUAUUUAUAACUGACAGUGCAAGGUAAUAGCUGCCCAGGGCCAGCCCACAGGCACAGUCCAAGAGCUGGAAGAGGUCAGAUUUAGAAGCCACCAUUCACUGAUAGAAGGAUUAGGAAAAUAAGACCAGGCACGGGGGCUCACACCUGUAAUCCCAGCACUUUGGGAGGCCGAGGUGGGUAGAUCACGAGAUCAGGAGUUCCAGACCAGCCUGGCCAACAUGGUGAAACCCCAUCUCUACUAAAAAUAAUUAGCCGGGCGUCGUGGUGGGCACCUGUAAUCCCAGCUAAUCAGGAGGCUGAGGCAGGAGAAUCUCUUGAACCCGGGAGGCAGAGGUUGCAGUGAGUUGAGAUCAUGCCAUUGCACUCCAGCCUGGGUGACAGAGCGAGACUCUGUCUCAAAAAAAAAUUUUUAAAAAGAAGGGUUAGGAAAAUAAGAGGCAAAAGUCUCUGACAUCUGUAGACAGCAUGAUUACUUAUAUGGAAAAUCAAGAGAUUCUACGGGGAUAUUAUUAGAGUGAUUAAGUGAAGUCAUGCUGGACAAAUGUCAACAUCCAAAUACAAAAAACCAUAUAAAAUUCAGCAGUGUUUCUACGCACUAUCAAUAGUUUAUUAGAAAUUAUAGUAUCUUUCAAAAAGAAAUCAUUCACAAUAAAAUUAAAACUGUACAAAACCCAGAAAAAAAUUACAAAACACAUUGCAAGAUAUUUAGGAAGUAAAACAUAGGCUACAAUAGUAAUAAAUGGAGAGCCAUAGAGAAGUAUUAGGUUAAGUAUGAGAUGCCUCCAUGUUAUGAAGACGAUUCUCUCCACGUUAAUCUGUUGAUUCAUUGCAGGUCCAAUAAAUAUUCCAACAGGAUUUUUCACAGAGCUAGGCAAACUGAUUCUAAAAUUCAUAGAGAAGAGCAAAGACCCAAGAAAAAAGUAGACAGUUCUGAAAAAGAAUAAGGAAAGAGACCUGGCCCUAACAAAUACCAAGACUUUUUUGAAAGCAAUAGUAAUUAAAACAAUGUGGUAUCGGUGCCGGGCUAGACAAAGGAAUCAAUAGAAUAGAGUGCCCAGAAACAGAUCCAAGUAUAUGUGGGAAUGUGAUUUAUGAUAGUGGCGGCACUGCAACUCAGUGAGAGAGAAUAGACUUCAAUAAAAUGUGUUGUGACAAUUGGCUUUUCCUAUGAAAAAUCUUCACACCAUCCAUAAAUAUGAAUUCCAGAUGGAUUAAAGACCUAAAAAUGAAAAACAAAACUUUAAAAUAAUUAGGAGAAAAUGUAGGAGACGUAAGGGUAGGAAAGCAUUUCUUAGACAGGAGACACACUCAAAAAAGAUCAGCCGAUUUUUAUUACAUUACCCCCCAAAAGCCCUCUGCUAUGAAAAUGAUAUUACGAACAAAGUUAAGAGACAAGGAGCAGCCUGGGUGGCAAUGGUGACAGCAUACACAACAGAUAAAGGGUUAGCAUUCAGAAUAUAAAGACCUCCUAGGAAUCUACAAAAUUAGCUGGGCGUGGUGGUGCGCACCUGUAAUCUCAGCUAUUUGGGAGGCUGAGGCAGGAGAAUUGCUUGAACCUGGGAGGCAGAGGUUGCGGUGAGGCAGAGGUUGCGGUGAGCCAAGAUUGCCCCAUCCCACUCUAGCCUGGGCAACAAGAGCGAAACUCCAUUUAAAAAAAAAAAAACCUCCUAGGAAUCAAUAUGGAAAAGACAGAACUUUUAUUUUAUUUUUAUUUCUUCUUUUUUUUUUUUUGAAACAGGGUCUUGCUCUGUCGCUCAGGCUGGAAUGCAGUGACACAACCUCGGCUCACUGCAACCUCUGCCCCUCCAGGCUCAAGUGAUCUUUCCACAUCAGCCUCCCAAGUAGCUGUGACUACAGGCACAUGCCACCAUGCACGGCUAAUAUAUAUAUAAAACAUAUAUAUAUCAUAUAUAUAUCAUAUAUAUAUAUUUGGUAGAGAUGGGGUCUCACCAUGUUGCUCAGCCUUGUCUGAAACUCCUGGGCUCAAGCAGUCUUCCCACCCUGGCCUCCCAAAAUGCCAAGAUUACAGGUGUGAGCCAGCAAACCUGGCCUAUUUUUUUCUUUCAAGGUACUCAUCAAGUAGUAAGGACAGACAUUUUUUGUGCCACUCUAAAUAGCAUCCCUUCCUUCUUCCUUGAUAAUCAGAACCCCAUUCUGAUUCAGGGGUUUGGGCUUUGUGGGAGGCUUGGCCUUCCUCAACCCCAUCAGGUGAAUGAUGAUUGGUCUAAAUAUAGCAUGAUAAUUUAGUUCCUCUGGUCAAUGAUUGGUUUAGGUGUGAACGUUUAUGCAAUUCUGGAAGGUCUCCUGGUGGGGACCCCUGGGAAAGAGACUAAUAAGAAAGCAUACAGUUUCUUCAGUCUCUGACGUUGUUGUCUGCACAAGAGAGUUAAGGCAGCCAUCUUGGGACCAUGAAGGGGCCAGUCUAAGAGGCAAAUCAACACAAUGAGAGGGUGUUGGAAAAAGACAAAAAGAACCUGGUCCUUGAUGUCACAGCCAGGCCUCUGAAUUAACCACCCCCAGGACUUCUUGUUACGUGAGCUAAUAAAUGUUCCUUUUUGCUUAAACCCCUUCUAGUUGGGCUUUCUGUUGUAACUUGCACCGAAAACUACAAUAGGAUAGCAAAGGAUAUGAACAUAAGUGAUUUGCCUAGAGGAAACCCACAUGGUCAAUGAGAAUAAGAUGCUCAGCCUCAUAGGCAGGGAAUGCAGCUUCAAAUGAGAUGCCACAUCAUGCCUAUCAGAUUGGCAAACAUAAGUCUAACAAGAGCAAAAGUUGGCAAGGAUAUGGUAAAACAGGAUGUCUUGUACAAACGCUGGUGGUGAGAGGAUCAAUUGGUUCAGACGCUGUAGAGAGCAGUUUGGCAGUACUAGUCAACUUCAAAGUGUGCCUGCCCGACAAUCCUAGCUUUCUAAGUAUAUGCCCUAAUAAUGGGUUCAGAGAAAAGUCCAAGCAUGUUCAUUGAAGCCCUGUUUAUAUAACAGCAAAACAGGCCCGGUGCAAUGGCUCAUGCCUGUAAUCCCAGCACUUUGGGAAGCUGAGGCAGGCAGAUCACUUGAGCUCAGGAGU